CGACGAGGACGCCGAUGCGCAAAAUGGCGACGCAGCUAGUUUAUGGGCUUGGAUGGGUGCCAAAGCCAAAAUUCUAGCUCUUCCUGUGCUGGAAAGAUUAUAUAUCGCAUUGAACUGCUGCUGCUAAGUUAACAAAUUUUACGUCACAUGCCAGUGAUAAUAAACCUGAUUCUGAUUCAAGCAAGCAUGGAAUCAAAAGAAGCGAGAAGAAAAAUAACAUAUUGAUCACUUGAGUUUGAUGCUGACCUCAGACGGAUUUUGUGUGGAAUUUGCAUGUUAUCCCUGUGAUUUCAAGGGUUCCAUGCACCCCCCCCCCCAAAAGAACUACAGUUUUCUCCCUUACCCAAAGGAUGUGCUGCGCUGCCGGAAUUUUCUUGUGUUUCCGCCCUGAGGAGUGCUGAAUGCUGUGAAAAACUGAGGUGAGGCUACUUGAGGGCUUGUGACUCGGGGAUGCCAUCUUUGUCAC